UCCCACUCUUCUUUGUCUUUUCCCCCAAUUCAUCUCGCUCCAAACCCUCGUCCCCUGCUCUUCCCCAAUGCCGCUUUCGGGUUCCAAGAUCACCUCUCGCUCCUCCUCUGUCCCCGCUUAUCGGCGAAACCCCCAUUUUCACGGCCGCCGCGGUAGAUCCGGCACGAGGAGCGCUCCGGUUGGUGGUUGUCGCAGUAGCUCCAGCGAGGGGAGCAAUAGCCGAGAUCUUCGAUCAAGUGAUCGAGAAGAAGUUUUCAGACAGUCACGUUCGUAUCUUCCUUAUUUUCUUUUCUGUUUUGGUUGCACUGGAGCUUUGUGAUCCCGCUUUUGUACUAAAGAUUUUAGGGAAUCCUCUUUCUUGGAUCUUCAAAAAAUUGAGUAUCCCUGAUUAGAAGAAAUAAUAGUUGAUCGCCUGAGGAAGGAUCCUAUAUUCGUGUAGGAUUAUGGUAAUAUAGUUCUUGAUUCCUUCAGGGUCGGUUGGAGAGCUUCUAUAUUAAUAUGAUUUCAUAGAAGUUCAGAUUAAGUUUUAUUAAUCUGAACAAACAGCCCCUAUUAAUAUGAUAUCGUAGAAGUUUCGAUUAGGUAUGAUUAAUCUGAACAAAUAGCUUCAAAAAGCACAUGCCGGUACGAAGCUGUCAGUUAACAAGCAACAAGCAGUGGAUUCCGAUAAGGAGUUCAUCUCUGUUCUUUAUUUUUAGUGUUAAUUGAGAAUGGGAAAUAAGUAUAUGUACAGUGGAAAAGAGAGAUACAGGAGAUGGAUGAGAGAGACAAGAGGAGUAAGAGGGAAAAAUGAAGAGAUAAAGAGGUACAUAGAAGGAAAGUGGAUGACAGAGAGAGAAAAAGGGUAGAAGGGGGUAUACAAAUUUUUGUUGAGCUUCUUGCGGAAAAAAAAUAGAGGAACUUGUUUGGACGAUUGUCACAUAAAUAUAGAUUACUAUCUCGACUGUCCAAGUAGAUUGAAGGUCGAAUUGAUUAAUUUUUAAAUGGAUUUAUAUAAAUGCAUGAGUAUAUGUAUAUGUGUGUGUUUGUGUGAAAGUGGCUGUAUAUGUAUGUGUGUCUAUGUGCAAGUGGCCGUAUAUAUUUGUGUAUAUGAUAUAGCUAAUUUUAGUUGUUCCAUGCAGAUUAAUUUCAGAUUUAGUAAUUGUGAUUGUUUCAGCUAUCAUCAACGAUAUUACCUUUUCCUGCCUCGGACAGCCAGUGUGAGUAGUCAUAAUUAUUGUUUAGCCAUAACUUAUUGAUUGUAAACUGCCUCAAUAUAUUUUUCUUCAGUAGACCUUUUUGCUCACUGUACAAUUCCAUUUAUAAGAUCACUGUUGGUUAUCUUCUUGCUGAAUCUUUCAUUGGAACCAGUUGGAGCAUGUGAUUUACUAGUAAAAUAGUGCAGAUAACUCCAGCAAGUUACCAUGUUCUUUUCCUUUUCUGUGUUGUUUCUACUCAUGUUUCUUCAACUGGAUGCUUUUUAUGUGGUUUAUAAAAUGCCUCAACUAAGUUAUAGUUGUUUUGACCUUUAAAUAUGUGGAUAUGUCUGGCAGAGACCUUGUGUCUCCUGGAACUGAACAAUCAACAUGUUGAACAAACAAUAAAAACAGCAGUAUACCUAUAGGAAGGCAAAUGAUGUCCAAUUCCAUAAAAUUUUCUUCACUAUUCUUGCAUGAUUACAUAUUUGACAAUUAAUUUUAUGACCGUUUCCGUUAAUUGUUGCAGCACACUUUUUUCUUGAACUGGAAAUCAAGUAUCAUCCGUGUUUCUAUUAUACAAACAAAUGGAACUUCUGGCUUUGAAAUAUUUGGUUGUGUUGAAAAAGUUGGUCAUAAAAGCUGGAAAUGUUUGUUGAGUUCAAGCCAUUACUUCAGGUAUAUCAAACUGGACUUUCAAUAGCAUAAAUGCCUAGAAACAAAAGCGUUACAUGGGAUAACAUGUUGUAAGCAUAUUUGACCAUGUUGCUGGGUUAAUGUGUUGUUGGGGUUUUGCAUUAUGCAUUCACAAGGACCAACCGUUUUCCAUAUGUAACAGUGGGCAUGAGACAGGCAUAUAAUUGGCAUGGACAUCGCAUAGCCCCUUCGCCAUGGAAAGAGGAGACUAUUGCACAAUUUAGGGUCGUGUUUCUCCUUUCUGCGCUGUGUCCUGAGAUUUCCUGUACUAAGCUAUGUGGUGGAAAAUCGUCAGAAGGCAUAAUUAUUGGUUCUUUCUUAUCUCUGUCAUAGGCAGCAGUGGCAUUAAAAUUUUAAGUGGGAAACAACAUCACAAAUUCCUACAUGGCCAAGUGAUAAAUGGUGCACUCCGGCAACAGGAGGUGGGAAACCUUGGCAAUGUUGGCGGGAAAGAUUUGUUUCGUAAUUUGUAUCUCAUCACCCCAACCACUCUCUUUACGUGGAAGAAGAGUCGGAAACAAAUGGGAGAAGGACGGCGCUCUUUGGUCUGGCCCUUCGAUUCCGUCCCAUGGCAUCAACGAGCGAGAAGAGCCCCACGGAGCGAAAUCCGCCGCCGCCUCCUGCACUCGUCCCACCAAUUCGAAACCCUUACUCGGAUCUCGUCUCCUUCUUCUCCCGAAGGCGAAGACGGGACGGACCGUGGUGAUGGAAGUCGCGGCGGGAGAAGGGGAAGGAGACUGCCCUCUCUGAAAAAUGUUUCGGCAGUUGUUUCACGAAGUCAGAGCACCAGUUUCAGCCUACAUGCGGCAGCCAAGAAUCCAAGGUCAUUCUGCCUAAAGAGGAACACAACGGACCUACAAGACUUCCUUGAAAGGAGAAUUCCUUUCCACGGAUAUAAUUACCCUGCAGCGCCACCCUCCUGAAUGUCCGAUUCUGAUCCAAGAACUUAACAUGGCUUGGUUGAGCUUCGCUACAGGUUUCUCCAUACAAACUAUGGUAUGCGUACUGUGAUGAAACGAAAUAUAAGUUUGGAUCACCUGUACGUGAGUGUAUUCUCACUCAAAUAUUUCUCCAUCAUCACCAUCUAAAAAUUAGUUGCAUGUAACUAGACCUUUCUCCAUCAUAAGUGUUUGAUUCAGUAUAUUUUUUCUGAUGAUUCUCAAAAUUAUGUACAUGCGAACUGUUCUUGAA